UGUGGUUUCCUCUGUAUUCUUUAUAUGAUGUUAUUUUGUGAUCCUUGAGUACGGAAAUAGCAUGGUGUGCAGCGUUGCCCUUGUGAGCAAUCUCUGAUGCUACUGAUGUUUAUAUAUGUAUUACUUAUGACACUAGGAUUCAAUCCUCACCGAAGAUUGAAUUCCAUCUUCUUGGUUAGAAUGCACAAAGGAUUUGAAUUGUGAAUCUUGCAAGGACAUUUAUUUUGUGAAAUUUAACAUGACUAAUUUGAGACCAGCAAAGAGGAUUGGGCCCGAAGAAAUGCUGAUAUUGAGCUAGGUUCGCAAGGCGAUAUGUCGAGCUCUGUGUAGCCUGCUUUCAAUGGCUUAUUUAAACAGGUGUCCCCUUUUCCUUUGUAUGUGUUUUCGAGUCUCAUUUCAUGUAAAAAUAGCCUGUAGAUGUCCUACGGUGUGAUUUUAUUUUUCGAGUUCAGCUCUGUGCUAUCAUAGAAUUCAGCUUAGGGAGAUCAAGAAGAUGUUUCAUAUGUCAGCACAACUACUGGAGGAUUUGCAGGUGAGGAACUAUUAUAUGAGUUUGGAUGACCAAAUAUUAGUAGUACAUCAAAAUCUACGGCUUUAUAUAGUUUGUCACAUACUGUCUUAUUUCAUAUAUGAUGACCAUAUCAAUCAAGUGUUUGUUAUUUUUCAUUCAGAGUGUACAUUGAUUCCAGUGUAGCAAGAACAGAAAAUAAGGUACUCUCUAAAUAAUGUGUGAGGUUUCAGAUUCUGUAAUUUGUUUUACUGUUGCUAACUGAGCAUGCUUAGAUAAUGUGGUGAUUUGAGUGGAGUUUCAGAGUCGACCGUUCAUGUCUGCAGUCUCAAGUUUCUAUAUGUAUAGUUUGAGACCUAAUAAGUACUGAUCAUUUCAGAAAGUUUCAUGUUUCAUACUUAUGAUUGAUACUGAUUGUAUUCACGUAAUUGGGCCACUUGGAUACGGUGGUUGGCUAACUAAUAAGUAAGAUGUACCCAGUUCUGCAUAAAGAUUUAGGCACCCUAAUUUCUUAAGUCUUUGUGGAGUCAGAGGUGUUGAAUGUUUUUGUUCGAAGUCUUUUUGAAAUGAUGAGUGAUGCAUACCUAUUCAAUGUUUUACAUGGUACUGCAAGUGAAGAAAUGAUUUGUACUAAACCAUCUAAUGGGUUAUUGUGUUUCUUUGAAGUCAUGAAUUUGUAGCAACUGACGCCCUCAUUGGCAUUCUUUUGAAAGAUAUCCAAGAUAGUUAAAGCAUUGUGGGGACUAGUAGGCCGAGCAGUCCGUUGUGUCUCCGCCGUCGCCGGCCGCACCAGUAUGUUGUGCCCCUUUCCCUGCUUCACGUCCUAGGCUACUCCACCACCACUGGAUACGAGUGUGACCAUGACAGAGGAAUCUUGUGCAGGGGGAUUUGAUGCAUAGCAUGUUAUGUACAUGCAAUGGAAAUGUUACACAGUGAAACACAUUUUGAUCUUCUAAUAUUAAUAUGCAUUGCUGGCACGAAGGUUAUUAUUUGUUGUUUCACACACACACACAAGGUUAUUAUUUGUUGUUUCACACAUUGUAUUGGGGAAAAAAUUAGGACUAAAGGUUUUGGUAUGUCUGAUUGUCGACAUGCCACCGGAGGUGCAUGAUUGUCUGAUAGGCUUGAAUUCUUAAGUUUUCUUUCUUAUUGGUCUUGUUUGUUUUUAUUUUGUUGAAAACCCAUGAUUUUACCAUAACCCAAAAUUGCUGAGUUAAAUGGAGAGGCUCAAUGAGAAGUUUCGGGACAUGGAGGAAAUUGAUUGUUCUAAUUUAAGUAAUAUAAAAAGAAAAGUAGUAUUUUCUAUUAGUAACAUAUGUCUAUAAUAUUAUGAUUUACCUCUGCUAAUAGGUGUCGUCGGUGAAAAGAAGCAUGCCCAAAUUUGUAAGCCCAUAUUGGUAUUACUUUCCAGUAAUCAACAUCCAACAAAAUAUAUAUUUAUGAAUGAUCUAUUAUCUUGCCAUGAAUAACAAUGAUAAAUUUGUUGUUGACUCAUGUUAUAUCCUCACAAAUAAAGUGCCACAUGGAACUUUCUCUAUCAGUUCAGGCUGGAUGGGCAAGACGACAUACUGCAGACCGGGACCAAGAGUUAUGUUCAUUAUCAGUGAUAUGUGUUAAUACUCUCCUAGAGAUUGAUUUUUUUGCGAUCGCAAAAAAAGGAGCCAGAUACAUGGCGAGCUUCCAAAUAUCAAGUUGCAAGUACCUUCGUUGCUUUGGACCUUGCCAUGGAAGGAUGAACACUAAAUGACCACAAAAUGCCUCUAGAUUAUGAGUAAGCGUGUUUCUACCUUCAGCGGUUUGGGCAUCUGCUUUGUCUCUGUGGCUGGUUUCACGGGUACCUGAUUUUGCUUGGAACAACCACAUGUGCUGCAGCUUGGUUUGCUGACUAGCAAUGUUUCGUUUCUUUGGUGGACAAACUUGUAUCUCAGAACGUUGACGAAUUAUUUCAUUUGAUCAGCUUAUGUGGAAACUACUAAUUUUCA